GAAUUUCGAUUAACGCUCAGUCUCUGACUGAGAAAACUGGAAG
rfam:Escherichia coli str. K-12 substr. MG1655, complete genome.